AUGGCGGCUCCGUUGCUGGGGAAAGGGAGGAGGGUGUGCAGGGAGGGGUGCCCCGGGUGCAGGCUGGACGAGGCCAACAAGGCCAACGCCGGCGUCCCCUACCUCAACUUCUUCUUCAUCUGGGUCGUCUGCCUCUGCGCCGCGUUCCCCAUCCAGUCGCUAUUUCCCUACCUUUACUUCAUGAUUCAGGACCUGAAAGUUGCAAAGCAGGAGCAAGACAUUNNNNNNNNNNNNNNNNNNNNNGGGCCUACUUAUUUCCUUGGAAGAACAAUCAGUGCUGUGCCAUGGGGCAUGUUUGCCGACAAAUAUGGGAGGAAACCCUGCAUUGUGAUCAGUAUCCUCUCAGUGAUUGUACUUAACACCCUCUUUGGCCUUAGCACGACUUACUGGAUGGCAAUUCUUACUAGGGGGCUACUUGGGUUACUAUGUGGUAUAUUAGGACCAAUCAAGGCCUAUGCUUCAGAAGUCUGUACAAAGGAACACCAAGCGCUAGGAAUUUCUCUUGUCACAUCUUCGCGGGCAAUAGCUCUUAUUAUUGGACCAGCCAUUGGAGGAUUUCUUGCACAACCUGCAAAAAAGUACCCGGAUCUUUUCUCCGAGGAAUCCAUAUUUGGGAGGUUUCCAUACCUCCUCCCUUGCUUGGUCAUAUCGGUACUAGCUGCAGGAGCAUGUAUUACAUGUAUUUGGCUUCCGGAAACUCUGCACAUGUACUGUGACGACAAAAUAGAAGCUAUUGACACAAUGGAGGUACAAGUUGAUGACUCGAUCUUAGAAGAUGGGAAAACUAAAGAAUACGGGUCGGAAAGAAUGGCAUCUACAAAGAGCCUACUAAAGAACCGGCGGUUGAUGUCAGCAAUAAUCCUCUAUUGUGUAUUUUCUCUCCAUGAUACAGCUUAUUUCGAGAUAUUUUCACUGUGGGCUGUGAGCAGCCGAAAGUACCGGGGGCUGAGUUUAAGAUCUCAGGACAUUGGUACUAUUCUAGCUAUCUCAGGGUUUGGUGUUUUGGUGUAUCAACUUGUGAUUUACCCAUUACUUGCCAAGUAUGUUGGGUUAAUCAAGCCAUUACGCUCUGCGGCGGUAUUAUCUGUACUUCUCCUUGCAACAUAUCCUUUAAUGUCCAACCUAUACGGCAUGGAGCUCCAAGUACUCAUCAACAUAGCUUCGCUUUUGAAGAAUAUGUUUGCAGCCACGAUUACUAUUGCCUGCAACAUUCUGCAGAACACAUCGGUGCCACAAGAACAAAGGGGUGUUGCAAAUGGUAUUUCAGUGACCCUAAUGUCAAUCUUUAAAGCAGUAGCUCCAGCAGCAGCAGGAAUUUUGUUUUCAUGGUCUCAGGAAAACAUAACUGGGUUGUUCUUACCAGGUGAUCUGAUCAUGUUCUUGAUGCUAAACAUGGUGUCAGUAAUUGGGCUCUUGCUGACAUUCAAGCCAUUUUGCUCUAUGCCUAGUGCGACCAAAUAA
rnacentral:rRNA from 1 species